UACGAAGGGGGCUAUCGUUGUUCGGAAUUACUGGGCGUAAAGCGCACGCAGGCGGAUUUAUAAGUCAGGGGUGAAAUCCCGGGGCUCAACCUCGGAAUUGCCCUUGAUACUGUCUAUCUUGAGUCCGGGAGAGGUGAGUGGAAUUCCUAGUGUAGAGGUGAAAUUCGUAGAUAUUAGGAAGAACACCAGUGGCGAAGGCGGCUCACUGGCCCGGUACUGACGCUCAUGUGCGAAAGCGUGGGGAGAAAACAGG
rnacentral:rRNA from 1 species